AGCCAAAUCAUGUGCAUAAAUAUCAAUAUAUAUACUAUACUAAAAGGCUAAUAAGAUCAAUGGAGAGCAAGUCCACGUCAUCUAUUUAAUUCAGUCCAAUCAGAGAACAGCAUUCGUCCACAUCUGCUCGCACUCUUUAAUCUGAUGGGCUUCAACCGAAAUCAGACUCUCGGCUUUUAAUCUGAGCUAAUGAACGCGAUUGUGUUUUCCGUUUCUCUUCGAUUGACGAAGGCGGUGACGAUUCAGUUCAUGUAACGGACGGCGUUGUGAUUACUCUGUCUUUAAUCCCAUUAAUUUUUAUUUCAGUUGCGUUUUUCCGUCGACGAUUUCGAUAUAAAUAGGUUAGUAACUCUCUUCUGCGGAUCGCCAUCUCCAUAAUCUCUAUGCUACUCAUCUUUCUCAUACUCAUCUCUUCCUACACAUCUCUCUUGAUGGCUGCUAACCCGAAAUUGUUUUUCUCGACUUGAAAUCCGGCCGGUUUUCAUCGGUUGUCGAGGCCAGGCUGCUCGGGUGGGGAGCUUAUGCUGGUGGAUUUUCUCAUGGUGGAUAUUGAGUGAUCUUUUCUGUUUUAAUCUAUAUAUCGAUUGUUCUGAGAUAUUAUUUACCGUCGUCCUGUUCACGAGUCAUGUUCGUGUGUCCGGUUAACAUCAUGUUGUUCUGUUUUUUUUUCUGAUUUUUGUUUUUUUUUUUAUAAAAUUAACUCUUAUUUGUUCUGACCUAUUUUCCUCGGCGAACUGUAUCGAACUGAUGACGACUCCCAAAAAAGGAUGGAGAAUGUGCCAGAUGACUUAGCUAGCGACAACGUAGCCGAGGUUGACGUGAGCGAUAAAUACAUUGACGCAGUAGACCUCGAGAGACGGAUGUGGAAGGAUCGUGUACGCCUCAAAAGAAUCAAAGAACGUACCAACAAAACCGGUUCCCAAGCGAAGCGCCCAAGAAGAUCUCUGACCAACAAAACUGUGGUGAACAGUGACAAUGAUGUUGAUGGGACAGAGGAGGCUUCAGGUUCAUUAACAGCCACCUCGCAGCCAGUAAGAGAUCAAGAUAAAGCAGAGAAACACAGGAGAAGGAAAAGACCAAGAAGCAUAUCAGAAGCUGAACAGAGAAAUGUUAUACCUGACAUGAAUCAUGUUGAUGCCUCUGCUAGGACAUAACAUCAACGGUACUCAUCACCGUGAAGAAGGUGUUUUGGAACCAAACAUAGCCUUAGGACCAGAGGAGAACGGUCUGGUAUUGGUGGUUCCAGAGUUUGAUAGCAACUGUACUCAUCUUCUCCCUGUUAGUGGACAAGCUAUGAUGCCUGUAGAGGAACGGUUUACGGACCAAACCAUAACCAGGAGUUGCAGUUUGGGUCAGGUUAAAACUUCUAUAAUCCUUCUGCAGUGUUUGUGAAUAAUCAGGAAGAAGAUCUUAUAGAAAUGAACCCAUCUCACAACAAUGGGUUUGAGGCCUCAGUAGAAGUACUUCAACCCCAUGGUUUACAUGAAAAUGAAGAAAGAGAUUUGUCUACUCAGUUUCAGAGUGACAGUAACAGUCUCAGAGAUUUGAUUCCUAUUGUGCAUUUGAUGAUGACUUCUCAUGGUUUCGAGCAUAGUUUCUUGACGUUUUUGUUGGGAGGUUAAGUAACCAUUGUGAGGUAGCUUAAGAUCUUAUAAUCUUUUGGUAUUGUCUUAAUUUUUUCUUUUUUUUGGCAAGUUAUGUUGCAGGUUCAAAAAAACAUGGCAGUAGUCUUGAAUAACUAUGAGCUUGAUUAUGAGAUCCAAUUAUUUGCAAAAGACUUA